rnacentral:rRNA from 1 species
CUCUCUGGCCAACCCCCAACCCUUUGUCUACUUGACCCUUGUGUUGCUUCGGCGAGCCCGUCCCUCCGGGGACCGCCGGGGGGUUCUCAUCGACCCUCUGGCCCGUUGCUCGUCGGUGGCCUACCAUUGAACUCUGGAUAAUCAGUGUCUGAAGCUUGAUCAAUAAAUCAAACGCAAAACUUUCAACAACGGAUCUCUUGGUUCUGGCAUCGAUGAAGAACGCAGCAAAAUGCGAUAAGUAAUGCGAAUUGCAGAAUUUUAGUGAGUCAUCGAAUCUUUGAACGCACAUUGCGCCCUUUGGUAUUCCGAAGGGCAUGCCUGUUCGAGCGUCAUUAUCACCCCUCAAGCUUGGGCUUGUCGUUGAACCCCCAGGUCCGUUAGACGACCGGUUCGAAAGAUAGUGACGGUUGCCUAUAUGACCCUCGGUGCAAUGAGCUCUCACCAGCACGCGCCGUCCGCGGUCUGAUAGCCCGGUCUCUCCUUUUAUUUUUUACAAGGUUGACCUCGGAUCAGGUAGGAAUACCCGCUGAACUUAAGCAUAUCAAUAAGGCGGAGGAAA